GGUUUUCUGCCGCCCUACGGGAGAGAAAUACCUCCUGGCCGAUGGUGGGUAGGGUUACCCCAGCUUCUGAGAACGAGUUAUUGCAACAACCGAAACCCUUAUUUAUCCUUUUGCUCCCGACAUGAGUUGCAUAAUUUAUCAUUUAAAUAUGGGGCCCCGCAGACUUCUGCAUGCCGUUUUGCUCCAUCGGCGAAAGGGAAACUUAGAAUCAAUUCAACAACUCUCUUGCGGUUUGGAGAAAGGGCUAGUUUAAUUAUUUUUUUUGUUUGAAAAAACAAAACAAAACAAAACACAUUCCCUCUAUGAUUUUCCCGCUGAAUUCAGUGGUACCAUUUCUAAAAUCGUAUAGAUCUUGCAUUAAAUGAUCAUCGGUAAUGCGUACAGCCCAGUCUAUAACUCGUCCUGCUUCCUGGGCAUGCCGAGGCCCAGCUCCGACUCUCCGCCCUCCGCGGUGCGGGCUGCGGGUGCGCAGGGGCGGCGGCGGCCAUCCGCGGGGCCGCAGCAAUGUUCGCCGCGGGGCCACCCAUCUCCCAGCGCCGGGCUUUGCCUCUCCUCACUUUUAGGUCGAAUCCGGACCUCGGCGGAGAGUCGGGCCGGGCGGCGGCUCUUCUCUUCUGUGAAAGGAAAAAAAAAAAAACAAAAAACAAAAAGCAAAAAAAAACCCAAAAAACCAAAAAGGAACAAGUGGUUUAGGGAGCAGAGGCUGCGCUGCAGGUCUCCUCCUCCUCCCAAACCGACGGGCGGCCAUCUGUGCAGAUCGCAGCUCGUUAACAUCGGGCGCGCCGUUCUCCCGCAAACACAGCCUCACGCCCGCGUGUGCGCACAUAGGCAGGGGAAGCCCCGCGCGGCGCGGGCACGGUGGGGUGGCGGAGGGGCGAAGACGUGCGGAGAAGGCAGGGAGCGGAGAGGAGGAACUGAUUGAAACAUUCGCCCCCAUAUAGAGCAAUCCCCUCCCGAUUCAGCCCCCGCAAUUCGUCUCUCAGCCCCGUGGAGAUAUGAUGAGAAAAGGAGACGAGUUAAUGAGCCCAUACUUUGCGGCUGGGAGGAGGAGGAGGCGACAGCGCCGUGUCUGUCCCACCGCCGCGGUUGUGAGGCCCGGCUGUGUCGGAGGAACGGCUCGGCCCCGGCCACUGCCCGGCCUCGGGG
ensembl:lncRNA